GUCUUUUUGAUUAUAAUUUAAAGUCUGACCUGCCCAAUGAGGAGUUAAAUGGCCGCGGUAAUUUGACCGUGCAAAGGUAGCAUAAUCAUUAGUUUUUUAAUUGAAAGCUGGAAUGAAUGGUUGGACGAGAAAAUAGCUGUCUCAAUUUAAUUGUAUAUAGAAUUUUAUUUAUAAGUAAAAAAGCUUAUAUAAGUUUAAAAGACGAGAAGACCCUAUAGAAAUUUAAUAUUUAAGUUUAUAGUUAUUUUUUAGGCUAAAUAAGUAUUUAUUUAUUUAAGUAUUUUGUUGGGGUGACAGAAAAAUUAGAUUAACUUUUUUUAUUAUAAUAACAUAAAUUAAUGAUUAAAUGAUCCGUUUAUUACGAUUACAAGAUUAAAUUACCUUAGGGAUAACAGCGUAAUUUUUUUUUAGAGUUCUAAUCGAAAAAAGAGUUUGCGACCUCGAUGUUGGAUUAAAAUUAACUUUUGGUGUAGGAGCUAAAAGGUUAGGUCUGUUCGACCUUUAAAAUUUU
rnacentral:rRNA from 1 species